UUCCCAGGGUGCCUUCUGGCGGGGGCGAGGGUUGUCUGCAUCCCAGCUGGGCAGCUGGAGGAUACUGGACCCGCCUGGACUCCAGGGUCAGCCUUGCCACCCACUAGCUGCAUGCUCUGCAUCAGGGACCUGAAUAAUGCUGACAGCACAAAGUGCCCGGCCCUGCUGCAAAGUUCUCUGCAAGUUCCUACCUCCCAAUACCCCUUUGAAGUAGGUGCUGCUAACGUAAUAAGACCAAGUUUCUUCAGCAGAAAAUGGAGGCUUGUAACAGAUGCACUGUGAGGCUGAGGCUGCACAGAAAACAGCUGAAGCACAGCCCUUCGAGAGUCCCGUGGAGAACUCGAGGAACAGGGGUGUCAAACCAAACACCAGAAGAAAAACUCUGUGAGACAUUCUGUGCCCAGUCUCCCUGAAUUCUGCAAACCCACUUUCUCCGCUAGAGUGAAGGUAACCGAGUCCUGGCCGUGAAAGCUGACUGGUAAUGCCUAGAGUUCGUCGCAAGGUGGCAACAUUGUGGCGAGAAAUAGAUAUUAAAAAUCCUGG
rnacentral:lncRNA from 1 species